ensembl:snoRNA
AUGCCAAAAGCUUCAUAAUUGAGUGAAGGUUCUUGUAGCCUGAACUACUGGAGCUUCUUGGAAGAGAAAAGACUAUGCUCCACUAUGGGCUACACAGUUGUAGUUCAUCACUAACAAUGUAGUCAACAAA